GGAAAUUCUUCCUUUAAAUACUCACUCACUUCAGAUAAGUGACCUCAGCAUAAUUUAUUGUCCAUCAGUGACUUUAAAGUAGCCACUUCUCUCACAUGCUAUUCCAGCAGGGCAGAAGACUUCUUUUUUGGCCCUUCAUUCUAGCUUUGGAUGUAAUUUACAAAGAUGAACCCUUGAGCAUGUAAAUGGUCAAUUCUACAUGGGUGGGCAAAAUAUUAACUUGAUAAAACAUAUCAAAAUAGCUGCUUAAUUCAGUUAACUAGAGUUCUGAAGCUUGAAGCUCUCUCUCUGUAUUUUAGAACAGCCCUCAUACUUGCUGUAAAUUUUGCAUCAUCAAGUGUAGUCAGGCUGCUUCUUGAGCAAGGCGUUGAUAUCUCUCCUCAAGAUCGCUAUGGACGGAAUGCAGAAGACUAUGCUGUUAUCAAGGGUCAUCAUAUAAUGCACAACCUGAUUUUGAAAUAUAAAGGAGAAAAGGGACUUAAAACACCUUCUCGAGACACUAUACUAGGUAAGACAGCUGAUAGUGAAUUACUUUUAGUGAUCUUACCAUAGAGAAAUUAAGAGUGAGGAUAUUUUGAUAAUGAAAGAGCAGUGAAAAGAACCUUGUGUAAAUUGCUUCC
rnacentral:lncRNA from 1 species